AUACGGAGGGUGCAAGCGUUACUCGGAAUCACUGGGCGUAAAGCGCGCGCAGGCGGUCUUUUAAGUUGGAUGUGAAAGCCUACGGCUCAACCGUAGAACUGCAUCCAAAACUAUUAGACUAGAGUGUGGGAGAGGAAGAUGGAAUUAGUUGUGUAGGGGUAAAAUCCGUAGAGAUGACUAGGAAUACCAAAAGCGAAGGCAAUCUUCUGGAACACUACUGACGCUGAGGCGCGAAAGCGUGGGGAGCAAACAGGAUUAGAAACCCUAGUAGUCC
rnacentral:rRNA from 1 species